GUUAAGACAUUUUAUCUGGUGAUCUUUGGUUCAAAUCCCCAGCCUGACCAGAAACUCACUAAGGGCCCUUGGGCAAGGUCCUUAAUCCCCAAGAUGCUCCCGGUGUUUAUUAAGUGUCUUGCAUGGCAGCACUCUGACAUC